rnacentral:misc_RNA from 1 species
UCCCCGUUAUGCAGGGCAGUCUGACCAGAGUGCUUCUCAUUGCUGAGAAUAGCAACAGGUCACAGGGGUUGCGCUCGUUACCGGACUUAACCGAACACCUCACGGCACGAGCUGACGACAGCCAUGCAGCACCUGUGUACGCUGGUAUUGCUACCUCGUUAGACUUUCAUCCUUCUACUACGUACAUGUCAAGGCCAGGUAAGGUUCUUCGCGUUGCAUCGAAUUAAGCCACAUGCUCCACCGCUUGUGCGGGCCCCCGUCAAUUUCUUUGAGUUUUAAUCUUGCGACCGUACUCCCCAGGCGGCGCAUUUAACGCGUUAGCUACGAGACAGAAGGGGUCGAAUCCUCCUACCUCAAAUGCGCACCGUUUACGGCCAGGACUAC